GGGCCCGCACAAGCGGUGGAGUAUGUGGUUUAAUUCGAUGCAACGCGAAGAACCUUACCAGGGUUUGACAUCCUGCGAAUCUCUUGGAAACAGGAGAGUGCCUUCGGGAACGCAGUGACAGGUGGUGCAUGGCUGUCGUCAGCUCGUGUCGUGAGAUGUUGGGUUAAGUCCCGCAACGAGCGCAACCCACGUCUUUAGUUGCCAGCAUUUAGUUGGGCACUUUAAGGAAACUGCCGGUGAUAAGCCGGAGGAAGGUGGGGAUGACGUCAAGUCCUCAUGGCCCUUACAGGCUGGGCUACACACGUGCUACAAUGGCGAUGACAGUGGGCAGCGACCCCGCAAGGGUGAGCUAA
rnacentral:rRNA from 1 species